CUGCGAAUAUUCUCACUGUUCUGAUUUUGUAAUAAUCAGGCAGGCUAACCAUUCUCUGUGUUAAGACCAUGCAUGUGUCCCCAGACCUAGUUCUUUCCCUAGUACUGAUUUUAUGAAUGCUGGUGAUACAA